UCUUACGUAUGAUAAAUUUUGAGAACAGUGCUCUACUAGUGGUUCUCAAAAUUGGUCCCUAAUCAGCAGCAUUAGCAUCACCUGGAAACUUGUUAGUGGUGCAAAUUCUCAGCAGGGGUUCCACCCAGAACCCCUGGAUCAAACCAUAGAAAACACAGCUUCACUAGAGGUUGAAGGAAUAUGAUUGACAUGCACAACAUAAAAACAUUUAUUACAAUGGCUUAGUAUGUCAGCAAAAUCCUAAGUAUUCCAAACUACAGAGAAACAAAUAAGUAGUAUUUUAUUAAAGUAUCUUUCUGCAAGUUUAAUAUAAUUCAAAUACUUAAACAGUUCAUCAUCUGAAUUGGGAGCAAGGGAUUCUAGACAUCCUCAGCUUUAGCCAACAUUAUCAUCCACUACCUUAUAGAUGAGUUCUUCCAGAAUUUCUGUUAGUAUCCCUGAUAGUGUAACAUUUUGCUUUGAUGAGAUACUUAGAAAAUUAGAUGAUCUCAGUAACAUGGAGAUAAUGUUUCGUUAUUGCUAUGUUUGAAGGAUUUUUUCUUUUGUUUUUACUGGUAGAGUCUGCUCUGUCAUUACUUGGACACAAAUAUAUGAUUUAUUGGCAGCAUAGUACAGAGUUUAUGGUGAGUAUCCAGUAAGUAUUUGUUAAUUAACUGAUUUUGCCCUCCACAGUUAUCUUAAGACCUAUGGUUUAAGAAGAAAACUGCUUGACUUCUAUACCUGGUAGACAAAAUGCCAUUGUCUAGUUGGUAUAUCGACUUUCUGCCUGAGAGUAUUCUCUUAGUCAAAAAAUCAGUCCCUUUUACUGAGUCCUCCUAAUGCCGUCACCAAGUGGACUUAGUCCCAGAGUUGAGUGAGAUCGUGAAUAACCAGAAAGCUGAGUUGUGACAGAUGGUCUCUAACCUUGUGUUCAGUGUUGUGACUCUUUCAAAGGCACUGGAGGCUCAAGACAACUUGGGGCACCGGGAUCUAGUUUCGCUUUCCAGAGUGCUCCAAAGCCCAGCAGCGCUGCGUUCCAUCUGGGCAACAUCAGAGAAGCCUCUCCUCCUGCCUUCUGAUCCGGGAAGCUUCUGUCACCUUGAAUGAAUCAAAAAGGAAUUUCUGAAGAGGCACCGAAUGGCUUUGCAUUGUCCUGUCUCCAGCUGCCCACCAAGUAGAGAUCGUUGGUGUGAGAUAACCUGGCCCAUCCAGAUGGAUCCACUACUCAUUCCUAAUUCCCAGUUCAAGCAUUUGUGGUAUGUAGACUGUUGCUCCUUCGCUCCAGUUUCCUCCUCCUCCUCAGGCUUUCCCAAGGAGCUAAGUCAUAUGAGGCAUGAGACAUGAUAAUUCUUAUUACUCUACAGAGUUACCAAUAUCAGUUGUGCUCUCCGCUUUCUGUGAACCCAGCAAAAGCAAGGUAUAUAACUGUGUUUAUCCUGUUACAUGCAUCCUUAAUUGAAACGUUGAAACUGAGCUAUUUUGUAAAGUGUGUCUUGUUAUCUGUAUGUUGCUUUGCUUCAGUUGGUCAGCAUAUUUGCUUUAUUCUUUAUAUUAUCAUUUCAGGGCUUGCUAUUUGUCUUCCUAUCUAAUUAAAUGAUUCUGUUUUGAAUAAUUACAUUUAAGUGCCAACAGCUAGGGGCAUUUCAAACGUUGAAUUUGACACAGUCUUUCCCAAGUAGACUCCUAGUCUAAAUAAAAUAGAUACGACAUAAACACCGGGAAGGAUAAGAACAAACUCAGCUAGCUUUACCUUUGUGCAGUUCUUAGCAGGUGAAAUCACUAGCAGUGUCCUUAGACAUAAAAGAAAAGGUUCUCUGAUUUUGUUACGUCUGAACCUAGGGGACUAUAUGGGAAACAAACUAGGAAUCUUUUCUCUGGUAUAUUUUUAAAAAUGUAUAGAAAGGGAGGAAGGUGCAGGUGCUUUAGUGUUGAUUCGAAUGAGAAGACUGAUUUUUGUGAAAAUUUCUGAAAUGCUUGUAGCUACUGAAUUAAGUGUGAAGAGAACCAAAGAAGUGUGUGUGUGAAUAAUGUGAACAUCUUUUACUGAUUUGCCGCCAGUGACGGUAAACAUAAUUCUGGAAGCUGAGAGAGUUCCUUACCCCUUUAAGGAAUAAGAGUUCUUUUCCUUCUGUGGGGACAGAGCUGUCCCAGCGGUAUUCUGCUGAAAGUGGGUAGUCGAAAGAACACUGGAAUUGGAGUCAACCGAAAUUCUAGAUUCAGUUCUCUCACUCGAAUGCACUGUGCCCUCAAACAAGUUUCCUUGCCUGCAAAACACCAGCCGUUCCUGCCCUUCCUACAUCGCAGGGCUGUAGUUAGGCUCAAGUGAGAUUAUAUUUGAAGGUGACUUGAAAAAUCGACAACAGCGUUAAGCAUGGCUUUCUCACAUUUAAAGAUAGGAGAAACUGAAAUGAAGCAAUGGUCAAAAUUGAAAUUUCUCCUUCACACCAAAAGCACUAGGACUAAUGUUAGUGAGCUGUUGGCUUUUGUUAUGUUAUAAACGAGAAUUGAUGCAAAUGAUCCUAGAGGAGUUUGGGAUCAAAUUCUCCUGUUAUGUCAGUUUUUGAAUCAAGCCAUUGGCUUCCAAGCAAUGGUCAAUUUUUAUUAACGGAGGUUUUGAUAACAGAGAUGAUACUUCUGUUUGUAAAAUUUCAAAAUAAUCCUUUCUUAACAUAUUUAAAAUCAUCAGUCUGCUAAUAAUUUUUAUAUACAUAUUGUUUGUAGUUGGACUUUGAGAAGAAUAUUUUCAAAAAGGCACCCGAAGGAAAUUUUUUGUACAGGUUCCCUUUGCCCAAUAUCUACUCCCUUUAAGAACUAUUCCUCCCAGACGGGUAUCUGUGGAUGUUUGCAUGUGAAUGCGCACUUUGUAGUUAAACAUUUUCUUCAGAUGCAUAUCUAGGAAUAAGAUAAUUUUGUUUGAUUGAAAUAGCUUCGUAACAUAGCACUAAUCUUGGUUUGUAGUUUGCGAAAAUACGGGACUAGAAAUAAGGGCAAACCAGAACCUCAUUAUGCAUAACCUUAAUGCGUUAAUGUUAGAACUUUAGGCAAAGCUGAUAAAAGAUGCAAAGGACUCUUAAAUAAUUUAAAUUAUCUAAAAAAUUGAGCAUAUUCCUUCAAAUAAUAAUGGCUUUCAUGAUCUGAUUUUUUAAAAAUUCAUUUCUCAUGUCUGGAGUUACUUGUAAGUGUAGAUAUCAAAGUAAGUUUGAGUUUAUUUAAGAUUAUUAAAUAUAUUUAUUGUCAUGCAGAGUCACUGAGGAUUCUGUUUUUUUAGCCUAAUUGUAAUCUGUAGUGUUAGGUAGUGCAUAAUUCCAGCAACAUACUUGAUAAUGUCAUUAUAGUAUAGAGCUAAUUUUUAGGAAUUCUCUUUAAAAUAGGGCUCUGUGAUGUGACUCCUUGAUUACUUUGAACCAUUGAUCAAUUCCAUUAACUUAAAAAAAAUGUUACUGUGUACCCGUUAUUAUUUGCUUUCUAAAAUAAAAGCUUCUUUUACCAUCUUAAACUUUACUGGUAAACUAUUACUUUCAUAAUGUAUUUUUAUUACUAUAUUCUUUUGGUAAAGGAGAAUAGUUGGGAAUACAAUGAAUUGUGGCAACCGUGAUUAAAGUAAAGAUCAGUCCCAUUUCUAAAACGUCCCCCCACCUUCUUAAAUGAUUACAGUGGAGAAUUUCGAGUUCUAAGCACACCAUCCUUUGCUUCUCCUCGUGCUGUGGUGUAUAGCAACAAAUACUUUAUAUUGAUUACUACUUAAUUCUAAUGGAAAUAUACUAAGCCUGGAAACACAUUAUAGCUUAGCACAUAGUGCCUUAAUUUUUAAACAGUUUUUAAAUUUAAAAAAUGGAUAAAAUUGCCCUAAAUAUACUUCUGUUGCUGGAUCCAUUUCAUGCUAUAAAAUUAUUCUCAUCUCCUGUCUUUCCUAAAGAUUAUUUUGUUCACAGUGUAUUUUUUUUGGCACUUCAGUGCUAAUUUUUGCAUAACUGAAAAUCUGUCAUUUCCAUUUUAGCUGUUUGGAAACACGAAAACCAUAUUAGAACAACAUAUUAAAGAUUAGUAUAGAAGCACAAAAAAUUCAUAAAAGAGAGAGCUAUGUAGAGAUUUAAAUUUAGUCAGAUUAUUCAAGCAUGCAAUUUUAAUCCAUUAAUCUGGUUUGAGGCUGCUGAAAAGAAACAUUUCUCUCCAAACGAGGUUUUUUCUCUUUCAAAACACAUUGAGAAGAGAAGCCCCUCUUAUCGAAAACAAAUACUUUUUUUUAAGGAAAAGAGUGAAGCAAGAGCUGCCCUAAUACUCUGCUGUAAUUUCUUGUUAGUAAAAAACAGGUUGCCAUUAACACACUAAGUAUUAAAAGCUAGUUACAGUCAUUUAAAGGUGGUCUCUCUCUAAUGUGUGUAUUAAGAUAUUCAAUACAAGAUUUAUUUUCAAGCUAUUUCAGGCCAUGGAGGGAAGUAGUUUUCCUUAUGAAAGGAAUUCUGUAUUUUUACUUCAUUAUUUGUAGUUCUUUCUUUGCUUUUUUUUUUAAAAUAUAAAACAGAAAAGAGGAGAAUGUGAGCUGGUUGUUCCUUUGAAUCCUAAUACAGUAUGUCUUCCUAAUGAACCUGCCGCAGUGCCCAGAAAACGGCUCCCUGCAAAGAAACACGCGAGAAGUGAUUUAGCCACAAUGUCCAGACUGUGUAAACAUCUAAUUAUUACAAUAAAAUUGUCAAUAAAUUUACAUUACUGCUCCCUUUUCAAACAUUAACCAACUUUUUCUUUGCUUGAUAAAAGGGCAUAAAUUGUAUUUUUAUGUGUUGGUGUUUUUGUUUUCAUUACACUUCUUGCUGCACUCUAGACAAAAGACUUCGAGCCUUAACGCCCUGAGUUAUUCCCGGAUGAAAAAAACUCCUACAGUUGUUUAUUAACAUAACGUGCUGUGUUUCCUUUCACUGUGAGGUGGACUCGGAACCCUCACCAUCUGAUCUUUAGUCACGGCAUUUUUUAAAAAAGCCAUAAAGCCAGUAUUGUAGUCACUGCAGCUUUAAGAGAGACACAAA